rnacentral:rRNA from 1 species
UGGCCUACCAAGGCGACGACGGGUAGCCGGCCUGAGAGGGCGACCGGCCACAUUGGGACUGAGAUACGGCCCAGACUCCUACGGGAGGCAGCAGUGGGAAUAUUGCACAAUGGGCGCAAGCCUGAUGCAGCAACGCCGCGUGCGGGAUGACGGCCUUCGGGUUGUAAACCGCUUUCAGCAGGGACGAAGCGCAAGUGACGGUACCUGCAGAAGAAGCACCGGCUAACUACGUGCCAGCAGCCGCGGUGAUACGUAGGGUGCGAGCGUUGUCCGGAUUUAUUGGGCGUAAAGAGCUUGUAGGCGGUUAGUCGCGUCGUAAGUGCAAACUCAGGGCUUAACCCUGAGCCUGCUUUCGAUACGGGCUGACUAGAGGAAGGUAGGGGAGAAUGGAAUUCCCGGUGGAGCGGUGGAAUGCGCAGAUAUCGGGAGGAACACCAGUGGCGAAGGCGGUUCUCUGGACCUUUCCUGACGCUGAGAAGCGAAAGCGUGGGGAGC